UUAUAUAUUUGAAGUUUCAGAUAUAUAAUAUAAUAUAUUUGAAAUUGAUUUUUGUGGAUCUAGUUAUAUCUGUCUUUCAAAUAGUUAUAUUUUCCUCAACACUAUUUAAUAGUCUUUCUUUUCCCUGCUGACCUAUAACCUACUUUCAUCGCUGUGUUCCAUCCCACAGCCUAUCUCUCUGCCCACAUUAGAGCACAAUAUUUUUUUCCUUCUCGCAGAAGUUUUACAGUGUGCUUUCAUGUUUGGUGGAGCUAGUUCUUCCCUCAUUACUUUUUUAUUGGUAGUUUGCUAGUUAUUCUUGCAUAUUUGGUUUUUCCAUGAAUUUUAGAGUCAUCUUGGCUAACUACACAGAUUUAUUACAUGUUUAUUGGGAUUGCAUUAAAUUUAUACAUUUAUUGGAGUACACAUCAUUGAUAUCUUUGUAAUGUUGAGUCUACCCCACAGAAAGAGGAAACUUCUGUUUCAUGAAAUCUACUUUGUCAGAAAUAUUUCAGAGAUUUAUGAUAUAGUUAUGUAAAUGUUAUAUUUUUCUUGCUGAGUUUAUUGCUGAUCAUUUUAUCUUUUUGUAGGCCUUGCAAACAGCUUUUAUCUUCUAAUUGAUUAAGAUUUGUAUAUUUGAAGGCUAUGGGCUUUUAUGUUAUUUUGAUAUCUUGAUAUCUUACUGAGUUAUUUUAUUAUUUAUAUUUUAUCACUGAAUGGCUAAGAAUUUCCCGAGAUUUCAUCAUAUCAACUACAACUAAAGACAGGACUUCCUCAUUUAAUGACCUACCUUUCUACUGACUGUCCAGACUUAUGAUGUGUCUUCUCUCUUGUAUAGUUCUGUACAUCUUGUUUAUAGAGACUUAGUGUCUUUUCUUAUACAGUACCCUUUGUUUGUACAGUACUGUAAUUUUUGCUGAUUGUAUUAUACAGGAUAGUAUUACAGUUUUAUGUUCUGUUAUACAUUUCAGUACUGCAUGUAAGAAUUUUGCAAAUAAAACCAAAGUCAUCAAAUUGGAGUUUCCUUUGACCAUUCCUUUGUUCCGAAUAUCAUAAUUCCUAUCAUACAAUUCCUUAUAGGAAUGGAGCUUUGUCAUUAAACAAAGAAUGUUUAUUUUAACUCUUGCUUUCCAAUUUUUUGUCAUGUUGUUAGGACUCACCUUCUGACCUUUUGCAUUUUCCUGCGCUGCCUUUGGUGUUCAUAUGAUUCUUAAGGUAGCUUUGUUUAUUGUUCCUGAUGGCACUGGAAUUAGUAGAAAUGUGAUGUGACUUAACAACUCUCUAGACUUAAAACAAGGAGUGCAUCAAUGUGCCCCACUGAAGCUGGCCCCUCAUCUCUCAAACAAGCUUUCACCUCAUUCCUAGUAUUUCUGGGUAUUCCUAAAGCUUGACUUUAGCUUUGACUUUUCUUUCUCUUCUACCUCCACAUCCUACCAACUGCUAAUCCAUUCAGAUUUCACUUCUGCCGAGAUUCUUCCUUUCCCCCGUAUCUAAUGUAGUCCACUGAGUAUGACGGCUGAGGCCCAUUGAGACCGCAAGGGGCCAAUCCAGUUUUAAAUCUCACAUAGAAUUGGCUCUGUCCUCUGUUGCUCCUGUGUUCUGGUUUAAUUUCUACACAGGCCUACUUUUCCAUGUUGCCUGAAAGGAGUUUCUGGGAGUGCCGUUAGUAAACUUGUUGCCUGAACACCUGACUUUCAGAGUGUGUUUUCUGGGCUCCACCCAUGGCAUCUCUUGCAUUCCUACUGCCACCACUCCAUUAUUUCUUCCCUUGCAUGUUGCAAAAGCUUUAUGCAAGUCUAUCUGCUCACUAACUACUUUUUAAAAAAAAUAAUUGGCCUGUAGAAUGAUGGUCAAAUUAUUUGAGCUACAGCAUAUCUAUUAAGUUUCUGCUUAAAAACUUGGUGAUUCCCAGCCUGGACUGUGUGACCAGGUUCUUAAUCUUUAUUGUAAUCUUCAAGGCUCAUUGUAGUAACCUCACUAUUCCCAUCUCUACUGUCCACUCUAGUGCAAGUAUUCUACAGUCUCUUUAGACUUGUCUACUUGCUGCCGUAUGUAAGUAAAAAUGACUCUUUUCUACAUUUGUAUCAUGUUUUCUCUCUUCUACUAUCCUUUUUAAAAAAAUACAAUUCUAACUAUUUCAAGGUCCAUUUCAAAUACAUAUUCUCCAUGAAGAUUUUCCUUAUACCUUAAUCCAGUGCCACCUCUUCUUCUUUAGUCAUCACAAUGCAUCUUAUACUCCUCCUUGGCAUUCCUUUCAUUAUAUUCAUUAUGUACUAUUUCACUAUUUUACCUCUCUUUCCUAUCCUAUCUGCACUUAUGGAAGACACUCUUCCAUAUGAGGUUUUAACUAGAUCAUAUUUGUAUUACUUAAAGCAAGGAGCAUAAUCCUUAAUACUAAAGUCUAACAAACUACUACUAAAUCUAAAUGGAUAUAAACUAUCCAUUGUGCCAUUUUUGACAUCCAUGUCUGACAUUUGUGUCAAUUCCUCGUAUCUUUCCAAUAUCUCAAGUGUGUAGUGGGAGAGGUGGUCUAAUGAAGGGAAAUACUUACAAUGUUUUGUUGAAAUUAUAUUUAGUAGUCAAUUUUUCUAGUGCAAUUUUUAUUGGAAUAAGAUGCUUAAGAUUCAUUCAUUUAAAAAAUCUUGGGCUGGGGUUAUAGCUCAGCAGUACAGCACCUUCCUGGCAAGUGCAAGGUCCUGAGUUUGAUUCCCAGUAUCAAAAAAAAAAAAAAAAAAAAGGUCUCUAAGAUUAAGGAUGAAUUGUGCCCCCAUAGGUGAUUUUCCUGUCUUUUGAGACAUAGGCAAGAAGUGUCAGAAAUUUCUGAAGGUGGAGAGAAAGGCCAUAGGACCAUGUAAUCAUCUGGGAUGACAUCAGAUCCAUGGUGCAACUCAGAACACAGCUGUGGGGCAGGAGUCUGGAACCAACCAUAAGCUUCUUUAUUUCCACUUUUCAUCUUACAGUGGCGGUGAUGUGACGUUUAGUUUCCUUAUUCUUUACAAACAACUUUACCUUUUUCUUUUUUCAUAUACCUUAGUCUCAUUUUAUUAAUUAACAUCUCUUUUUCAGUCAAGUGAGAAAGUCAAUGUGGUGCCACAUUUUUCUAAACACUGUUGACUAAUACAUGAUUCCAAUUAGAGAGAUUGAAAAUAGGGCAUCAGUUAAAAAUAUACUAUUGGUGUUAAAAUACUACUUAGGGAGGCAAUCUGUGGGGAAAAUAUUGAAUGGGGUAUCAUAUAUCUCAGAUAUACUUAAAAUUUUAUCUCUAUUUAUAUCAUCUUAUUUCUCAGAGCAAGCUAACUACAAAUAGGAUGGUGCUGGAAAGGUAACUUCUCAUUUUUAGGGUGUAAAGUGGUGUUUGCUACAAGUGGAGUGUGGUAACAGAAGAUAUGGGAUUGUGUUUACAUAGAAUCUCCCAUUGAAAGCAAUUUGAGUGCUUCAUAAACAUCACCUUAUGAAUUUAUUCCAUCUCAUUAGCAGGUAGAUAGAGUUAUUAAUGCCAUUUAGCUCUGAAGAAACUGGAAGAGAGACGGGUUGAUCUUCCCCAGUCAGUGCUCCAUAUGACCACACAGAUUAGGCUUCCCUAGGCUUCUGAUUCUUGGUACUAUGACAAUACUUGCAUAAAUGAUGUAGCCCUAUUCUGAUUUUAUGCUGUUAUCAUUUUAUUCCUUAGUAUUAGACUAUUAAAGUGUUCUCACAUAGAAAAUUUCACAGAUACUUUGUAUUAUAAUAUUCUGUGUCAUUCUUUAAACUUCAACCAGACUUUUAUUACUGUAGUAAUUCUUCAAAGAUUUGCUUUACCCUAUAUAUUUAGAGAUUACUUUCAGUAUCAUAAGUAUACAGCUGCACUCCUAGACUUGAGUCAACUAGCUCUAGAUUGAAAGAAUACAGUAUAAAUUCAAUCAUCAAAACAUAUGUGGAGAUUAAAGUAAGUCAUAACAGGACACUGACCCUUGGUUUCAGGGAGAAAUGGAGACUGACCCAGGAGGGAAAGUUCUAUAGAUAGUCUUCUGUGGGCAUUAAAAUAUAUGAAGGAUUUGGAAUAAUUUCAGAGAAAAAAAGGUUAUUUAAAUAACAGGCUAAUCUGUUAAGUUUCAUUUCUAGUUCUUUGUCACAGAAGUCUGAGAGAAGACCUCCUCCUUGGGUAGCUCUGAGACAAGGAUGAAAUGACACUGGUAAUAUGCAAGAGUAUUUUGGCAUGUUUGAUCAGCAUUUGAUUAGAAUUAAGUUGUAACUGAGGACAGAUUUGUGUGAGUUAAGACGUUUGUAACUCUGUUUUAAAGACUACCAGAAAUGGAUAAAAAACAUCUCCAAAGCAAUGUAUUUCAGGAAAAGAAGAGCUCCUGAUUGUCUUCAGUAGGGAAUGAAUUAUCUUCUGUCUGAUACGUAUAUGGAUCUAGCGUUUCAGUGAGGGAGAUACAUGCCGGCCCGCUGACAAUUGUUGGACAGUCUCGACGUUGCCACUAAUAAUCUGUUGACAGGAACACCUGGCGAUAGUGACAGAGCCUGCCCUGGGAUCGCUCCCAGCCGAAGCCUCCUCUGGUCCGCUCCCCGCGGCUCCUUCCGUGCUUCGCUCCGAAGCCUCUACCGGUCCGCUCUCCGCGGCUCCUUCCGGGCUUCUACUUCCCCCCAGGGGUGGCACCAGUAUAUAUACGGAUACAGUGUCCAAUCAUAUUAAAGGCCUGGCACAUUGCCUGAUGUGUGAUGAGAGAAAAAUAAAUUUCUGAUGAAUUAAUGAAUUAACUUACAAGCUUACAGACUGUGGCUUAAGCUCUCCAAGCAAUGUGCAUUUGCCAAGCAAAGCAAGGCAAAACAACAAACAAUAAACCCUACUGGCUCCAAGAAGUCUUUCCAGAUUGGAAGUUAAAAGUUUACAUCUUCAUCCUGUCCUCUGAGAGUGAUUCUGUGUUUCGGAAGUUCAUGUUUGGAGAUGAGAAAAAGAAGGCAAAUGACUGUACUUCCAUGUGGAGAGAGAAUGGGGCAGCUGAUAAAACAAAUCUAAUUAUAAAAAUGGAUGAAAACUUUUGAAAAUGUCUCAAGAAGACAAAGAAUUUGUCCUAAAAACUUGGGAUGGUGGUACGUCCGUUGUCAGGCUGAGCAGCACUGCAGACACAUCUGCAUUCUUUGACAGGACUGAAGUAAGGUGGGAGCAGUGGCAAAGGCCACCCUUCACCACUGGGAGCUGGACCACUGACUGCAGUACAGAAUUUCCAGCCUAUGCACACAGGCCGAAACAUUUCUAAAUAUGCCCCGGCGGAUGUUCACACGUGCUAUUAUGGGUGGAAUGUUUGUGUCUCUUCAAAACUCCUACAGGGAAGUCCUAACCUGCAAAAAAAUUGUAUUUGAAGGUGGGCCUUUGGAAGGAAAUUAGGCCAGAAUGAGGUCACAAGAGUUGACCUGCUCAUGGUGGAUUAACAUUCUUUUAAGAAGAGGAAGAGGGACCACAGCUGUUACUGCCUGUACUAUAUAAGACACAGUAAGAAGACAGACAUUCAUAAGAGAGGAAAAAAAUCUUACUAAAGAACUAAGUUGUCAGCUUCCUUGAUCUUGGAUUUGCUAGUCUCCAUACUAUAAGAAAUACAUUACUAUUGUUUAAAUCACUAAGCUUAUGGAAUUUUGAUACAGCAACUAGAAGCCCUUUGUUCUCUGAUGCUACUCAGUUAUUGAGGUUUUACCUUUUCAUUUAAGCUUUUUACCCAGUGUUUCUGUUUGCCUUGAUUUGGGUCUUGUCUUGCUUAUGACCUAGAGAUGCUACCAGGUCAAAAGGCUUUUGCUGUUCAGUGGAAAAUUUCUUCUCCAAUAUUUCCAAGUUUAAGACUGAUGGUAGAUUUCCCUAACAAGGAAUAUUUAGUUUUCCCUAUAAUUAUUCAUAGUCUUAAUCACUGACAUUGUCUUAAAAUGAUUUCAUUUCUUCUCCCUUGUCUGUGCUUCUCCAGUGAAAUUUGAGCUCUGUGAAAGUUAGGACUUAUUUUCUUCUGCUUUUGCAUCUCUAGUCCCUACACCCAGACCCAACAGGUACUGAGUAGAUGAUUGAAUAAGGAACAGCCCUGGACCGUGAUAAAGGUCAGUAGGGAAGAAGAGGACCUGAAAUGCAUAGCUAGCUUGGCCCCUGAAAAGAGCAAGCAAUGCCCAGUGAAAUCCGCAAGCUGGAGUUUCUGUAGCAGCUUUACUUUUAACUGCCAAACUUGGAAGGAACCAAUAAGUAACCUGUGGUGCUUCUAGAUGAUAGAAUGUUCUUCAGUGCUGGAAAAAAAAAUCAAGCUAUCAAGCCACAGAAAAAUAUGAAUGAAACAACAUUGAUUAUUACCAGGUGAAAAAGGAAAUCUGAAAGGUUUCAAACCUUAUGAUUCUAACUAUAUUACAUUGUGGAAAGAGUAAAUUAUAGAGAAAUAAAAAGGUCAGGGCUUAAGAGUGCUUAGAGGACAGGAAGCAAUGGAACGAGAGAAUAGUGAAAAUACUCUAUAUGACACUACGGUGAAGGGUUAUGCCAUCACCCCUGAACCCAAGCCCACUGAGUACGUAACACCUCAGAUAAAAACUAAGUCAUCUGUGGGCUCUGGGCCACAGUGAUGCAUGACAUAGGUCCACCAACUGCAAAAAGUGUAGUAAUCUGGUAGAGAAUACUGAUGAUGGAGUGUGUGUUUUUUCUCUGUUUUGCUGUGAAUUUAAAGCUGCUCUAAAAAUAGUCUUUCAAAAGUUAAGAAAUUCUCUGGAUGAUGUUUUUCUGAGGGUGCCAUUUCCAUCCCCCUUUCCAUUUAUUAUCCUGGAUAGUAUCACAUUCGUUUUCUUGCUCUGCCUCAAUCUGGAUGUUGUAAAAUGGCAAAUAAUGGUUUUAGGGAGUUUAUGGGGGAACGGCGUGGCCAGUCAAAUAAAUUGUAAUUUAUAUCAACAAUUUAGAUUCAAAACCAAGGAAAAAAAUCUAACACAGACAGCAAUUAUAUUCUCAGAUUUUCCUUUGUUUAGAGAGACUGUAACACUAGAAUCCUGAAACAGUUACAUCCAGGAAAGAGGGGAAAAGCACUUCUUUAAUAGGCAAGUUCGAGAUCUAAAUAAUUACCUUGUAUUAUCAUAUAAACUUCCAUGUGGAUACAAAGUAUGGGAAGAGUAUUUACAGAUUUUCAUAAUUUAUUGAAUAAUUCAAUUUUUCCAUGUGGCAUCCCAGUAAUUUUCUCACUGAAUAAGAACAAUUAGUUACAGUUGGAGGAAACCAACUUAAAACAGGAAGUGAAUUAUAAAGCAAAUAGAUGAUUUUAAUAUGAAGAGAUAUAAAGGGCAUAUUCUUUGUGAAUGACAUUUGGUCAAGGUUAAAAUUUCCAGCAAAGUCUACACAUUUGGAGUGAUGCAGGACUUUUGUGGGGUUCAGAGGCAAGUCAAAAAUAUAAAUGUAGGAAAUUUGUAAAUUUGUCUAAAUGGGGAUAAAAUGACAACUGUAAUAUUUGAGACAUGGUCGGUAACAGCAAAAACUAAUAUUUAUCAAGAGUUUCCCAUGUGCUGGCUGCUCCUCCAAGCACUUGGCAUUUGUUAUUUUACUUGGCCUCACAGCCACUAUAUGUAAUUGGCACCAUUAGUAUCUGUAUUUCACUAAUGAUGAAACUGAGAUAGGGAGAGGUUAGUGUGUCCACACCGUAAAUGGAGCUGGAUUUAAAUCUGGGGAACCUGACUCAGAACUUGUGUACCUCACCACUCCCAGCGAGGCCUCAUCAAAUGCACAGAAGAUGAAAAGAACAGAAACCAAGAGAGAAUUUAAGAUCCAGAGCAUUGCUUAAUGAGGGAACAUUCCUCAGCAAAGAAACUCUUCCAGGAAAGAACAAAACAAAACAAAGCAAAACUGGGCACCAGGAGGGGUGUAGAAAAACAGAAGUCCGUGUCAUGCCACUGGCUUAUAAUGAGGGUACAUGCACAUCUGCAUUAUCACGGGCAGUUUUGGUCAGAUUAAUUUUAGAAAGAAUCAAUAGAAAGGGAUGGGCAAUCAAAAAUGGCCAAAAAGAUGAUAAUGGAAGUUUGAGGAAAAGACUAUCAUAAAGAGUAUUGAUUGAGAAUUAAUAACCAUGAAAUCGUAACCAAGAAGACUAAUGGUAUGAAAAUUUACUCAGAACAUAUUUGACAAAGUAAAUUUAGAAUAUAAAAAGAGAUAUCGCUGAACUCAUUUACUAACAAACCCAUGGCAUUAUUACUCCAGAAGUGAAUAUGGCAGAAUAUAUAACACUUUAUCAACAAAUUAGUAGGAAUUAUUAGGAAUAAUAGUCAUUUAGGAAUAAAUGACUAAAGAGAGAGAUGGAGCCAAACCCACAAAAGCCAUGCAAGGGAAGGGGGGAAAUGAGUCAAACCCAGCCUCAUUUUUAUUUUGUGUUUUAAUAAAAAACCAUUCUACAGUAGUCCAAAGUGCCUUUGAAGUUGGACCCAGCUUCAUAUUCCAGCUCUAUACUUCACUGAAUGGUUACUUAAUCCCCCCAGAGCUGUGGUUUUGUCACCUGCCAACUGCAGAUAAUCAUACUUCAUUGAGCCUGGCAUGUAGUUGGCACUCCAAAAAUGUUGGCUGCUAUUAUAAUUAAGAUGACUCCAUGAAUGCCUGCCUGACACGCUCAAAAAACUGUCUGUCUUCCACUAGUUGAAGGAUGUUGAGAGUUUCAAUUUUAUUUUACUCUGAACUGAAAUUCUCUGGCUCAGCUUUGAACUUAUGCUUACAUUUCCAUUAAUAGCUUGAGGAAAAGCUAUGGUGUUUCUUAUUCUUCAAAAAGUAUACUUUUGCAGUAGCUUACAUGUUAUUUGAUUCCCUUUUUUUUUUUUUUGGUGGCUUGCCAUGUAUGUAGUGAUCAUUUGUGUAUUUCUUUGGAAUUGUGUUUUGGUGGCCUGAUUUGUUUAGAAUGGUCAUUUUGUGCCAUGAUGGGAAAGAAGAGAGGUAUUGCAUGCUUCUUGAGAGUGGGUUUCUUUCUUAUCUCCCAGGUUGAGAAUACUUGAGUCCAAGGACCAAGCAUAUUGUAAGAAACGACUAUUGCGUAGCAAUUCUCCAGUAAGCCUUUUGCAAUGGAAAUGACAAACUGGAUGAAAGACAAACUAGAACGAGUUUGUUAUGACUCAUAGGUUGCCCCGAACUUCAGAGUCCCUGCCUGUUCGGCUCAAAUCAAACAUGUCAGGUGAUCCGGCCACAAGAACUGAGUGUGACACUGAUGUACCCUUCAAUGAAACAAGGUCAGCAGUCAGAGCUGGAGAGCUACACUCUGCUGAACUCAGCUGUGACAGUUGCCCAGAAAAUUAUAAUUUAAGAAAUUAUUUCCUAAAUCUCAACAUUUCUUAUUUCUGGGCAAUGACAUUUUGAAAAAUAUUCUUUCUUUAAUUGCCUUGUAACUAAGUGACUCUUUUAGAGACUACAGCAAGAAAAGAUGGAAGAUGGGCCUAAGAGAGACAAGAAGAAAAAAUUGCCCAAGAUUUUGAAAUUAUCUCUUUCCAUGUCUAUUACAGUGUUAAAGAAUAAUUUUAAAAAGAGCACCAGCCAAAAACAAUUUAUAAUGCAAAGCAAAUAGUUGAUGGAAAUCUGUGAUUAUGAGUAUUAAUGUUAUUUUUGUAAACUGACAUCCACCUUAAAAAUGCAGCUUUACAGAAAUUUAUCAGCUUGAAAACGUUUAUAAUAAAGUGCGCUCACCUUACUCUGUUUUCUUAAAACUUCAGCUUUAAAUUUUCUGACUACAGUUGCUAUAAGGAAUGAAAGUCAGUGAAGAACAACAUUAUCUUAUUUAGUCUUUAAGACCUGGUGAAGUACAUUAACUGGCGUUUAACUGACGCUUUUUUUUUUAAUCAAAUAAUUUUUUAAUGAAUAAGGGAGAGGAUGAGAUAAAAGGGGGCAUAACAAUAUAACAAUACAGGUUAAAGCAUGACACUUUCAGCAACCUAGUGCUUCACCACCAAAUAACCCGACUUAAUGGUAGUUACCAUAGUGUCUUUUUCUUUGAAAUAUUUGAAUAUAACUUCAUAGGGAUUUAGCUCACCGGCAUAAGUGCCUGCCUUGCAAGCAGGCAGUCGUGAGUUGAUCCCCGGUAACGGUUAACUGACGCUUUGGUUCUGGGGGCAUAUACUCUUAAAUUGUUGGUUUACUCUGUUAACAAUGGUUGAAGAGAUGGAAUCCCUCAGAAAUACAAUCAAUCUCCAUAUUUGUUUUAGAGUUAAAAAAGAGAAAAUAUUUUAAAUCAACUAUAUAAAUAAAUCAGAGAAUUUCAACUAAUAAUAAAACUAUACUUUAAUGAAUUUGUUUAUAUAUACAUAAAAUAGCUAAGAUAAUUAUAUGACUAAUUCUAUUAGUUCUUGGAAAAGAACAGUUAAUACUCAUAUGAUUAAAUUGAUUUUGCAUGUCAGUAUCUGGUAAUCCAAGCAACUCUUCUGAACAUAACAAUUUGCAAUAUUACAACAAUUGUUAAAUUCCUAUCAUCUUAUUUUGAAAGCCUAUCUUACUAUUAUUUUGAGAUUUUGUUGUUGUCAUAGUUGUUUAUAUGUCUCUUGUUUUUUUCUUCCUUUUUUUCUCUUUAAAAUAAAAAAAUGUACUUUAAGAAACUCAGGGGACUGAAAUGUACAUUUAAGCCAUGAGCCUUCAAACAAAUACCUUACAUGACUAUUCAAAAUUAUCAAUGACAAAGAUCAUCCCUUGGCCCUGUAUUCCUUGUAUCCAUCCCUGCCUUUUAAAAAGGUUGGUUUGAAGACAUAUUAGCACAAGAAAGAGGAAAAAUAUUGACAAGAAGCAAUAAUGACUCCAUUCAGAGUGCUAAGUCUAGACGUUUGUAGAUUCUCUAGGUCCCACAGUGGGGGUAAAUUUUUGGUUUGUAGUAGGUGUAAAAUGUUGUAAUUGGAGCAUAUACAAUAUACAAAUAUCUGAGUGCUUUUCU